rnacentral:rRNA from 1 species
CUCCAGAAGCCGUUAGUCUAACCGACAAGGGGGACGACGACCACGGAGUGGUUCAUGACUGGGGUG